CUUUAGCCACCGGAAUGUCACUACAAAGGGCGGAUCAGCUAACAUGAGAAGUAAAGGUAGAAGACAGAACCCAAUGAUUUUGGUCUAAAUCAGGUAUAUUUGUUGAGAAAUUCACUGAAUAUAUACAUUUAAAAUUUAUAAAAAAAUUAUGAAUCCGCUUAUUUCAUGACAUGUUUUAAGAUGAUGAUAUGUUGUAAAAAUACUUGUCUUAUGUGCUCAAAGUCCUUUGUUGUUCUUAAUAUUGGGAUACAGUAGUCAAGUUCGCCCUAUAAAAUGAAAUGGAGAAAGUAUUUAGGUACUUACAUGACCCAAGAGGUUUGUGCCUUCGAAAAGUUCCAGAUUUCUCUUUCCACUAAUGAUUUCCAGUACAACCACACCAAAAGCAAAAACAUCAGACUUGAUUGAAAAGUGUCCUUCCAAUGCAUAUUCUGGUGCAAGAUAGCCGCUGUAUAUCACAAGAAUUAAUUUGCAUGAAUAACUAAUGAGUACCAAAAAAAAGACUUUUGAAGUGUUUAGGAACAUAUACUUACUAAGUUCCGGCAAUUUUUUGGGUGUUAGACUCACUACUUUUGCCUUCAACAAUCCUGGCCAAGCCAAAAUCUGAUAUCUUCGCAUUCAUGUCUUCAUCUAAUAGAAUAUUGCUCGUCUUUAGAUCUCUAUGAAUGAUACGUAACCUUGAGUCAUGGUGUAGGUAAAGAAGCCCACGAGCAAUCCCCAGUAUGAUCUCAAAGCGGAUAUUCCAAUCCAAUAACUGACCUAGAUUUUGAUCUUGCAAGAAUUAAUCAAACAGAAGAUUAAUGUAUUUGCAAACAAGCAGGAGAAAAACGAAGUCAAGUGAUGAGCAAAAACUUUUAGAAAGCAAAUUAGUGUAUUUUAGAGGUACACUGGAUCAACCUGAGAGAUUCUAUAUAGAGGGGAGCCAAGCUCUCAGAAGAAAAGUAGACUCACCAAAUAUACAGAUGUCUAAGCUUUUGUUAGGCAUAUAUUCAUAUAAUAAAAUCUUUUCGUUUGCCUCGACGCAGUAGCCCAAAAGCCUUACUAGAUUUCUGUGUUGGAGUUUGGCUAUUAGCAUUACUUCGUUUUUAAAUUCUUCAUCACCUUGACUAGAAUGACUUGACAACCUCUUUACUGCCAUUUCUUGUCCCUGACAGAACUUACCCUGUACAAUAUUCCUCAUUAGCGGUUGUUACGCUAGAUCAUUUGAAAAUGGUACAAGAAAAACAACAGUUGAGGCAAGAACAACCUUGUAAACUGGACCAAAUCCGCCUCGACCAAGCCUGUUUGCAUCUGAGAAGUUAUCCGUUGCGACUAGUAUGCUUUUCAAGUUGAAAAAUGGGACAUCGAUCCUUUUCUUAUCAUCUUCAGUUAUUGAAUAUUUAGAUGAACUUUCGCUCUCGGGCAAGUGCUCUACCCUAUUCCCUAGAAUUAUUUCCUUGGCUUCUCAUGAUAUAAAAGUAAGUUCGAAAUUAGCAACUAAUAUAUAUAGAGAGCGGCAGGAAUCGAGAAGGAUGGCUAAGAAUGCUCAUGUUACCUUUUCUUCUCGACACCUUUUUGUUAUGGUAGAUUACAUAGCUAAUGCAGCAAAUUGCUAUAAUUCCAGCUGUUAGACUGGUGGAAAUAAUCACGGCUUUGCGAUUUGGGGAUGCUGCCUUCUCUCCACUCCAUGCUCCUUGCUCUGAACCAACAUGAAUUGAACAUGUUUAGGUGAUUAAAAUGAAGAAUACAACCAAAA
rnacentral:lncRNA from 1 species